AUUGAACGCUGGCGGCAGGCCUAACACAUGCAAGUCGAGCGGGGUUUUCGGACCUAGCGGCGGACGGGUGAGUAAUGCGUAGGAAGCUACCCGAUAGAGGGGGAUACCAGUUGGAAACGACUGGUAAUACCGCAUAAUGUCUACGGACCAAAGUGUGGGACCUUCGGGCCACAUGCUAUCGGAUGCGGCUACGUCGGAUUAGCUAGUUGGUGAGGUAAUGGCUCACCAAGGCGACGAUCUGUAGCGGGUCUGAGAGGAUGAUCCGCCACACUGGGACUGAGACACGGCCCAGACUCCUACGGGAGGCAGCAGUGGGGAAUAUUGGACAAUGGGGGGAACCCUGAUCCAGCCAUGCCGCGUGUGUGAAGAAGGCCUUUUGGUUGUAAAGCACUUUAAGCGAGGAGGAGGCGCUCUAGGAUAAUACCCUAGAUGCGUGGACGUUACUCGCAGAAUAAGCACCGGCUAACUCUGUGCCAGCCGCCGCCGUAACAC
rnacentral:rRNA from 1 species